CACAUGCAAGUCGAGCGGUAGAGAAGGAGCUUGCUUCUUCUUGAGAGCGGCGGACGGGUGAGUAAUGCCUAGGAAUCUGCCUGGUAGUGGGGGACAACGUUUCGAAAGGAACGCUAAUACCGCAUACGUCCUACGGGAGAAAGUGGGGGAUCUUCGGACCUCACGCUAUCAGAUGAGCCUAGGUCGGAUUAGCUUGUAGGUGAGGUAAUGGCUCACCUAGGCAACGAUCCGUAACUGGUCUGAGAGGAUGAUCAGUCACACUGGAACUGAGACACGGUCCAGACUCCUACGGGAGGCAGCAGUGGGGAAUAUUGGACAAUGGGCGAAAGCCUGAUCCAGCCAUGCCGCGUGUGUGAAGAAGGUCUUCGGAUUGUAAAGCACUUUAAGUUGGGAGGAAGGGUUGUAGCUUAAUACGCUGCAACCUUGACGUUACCAACAGAAUAAGCACCGGCUAACUCUGUGCCAGCAGCCGCGGUAAUACAGAGGGUGCAAGCGUUAAUCGGAAUUACUGGGCGUAAAGCGCGCGUAGGCGGCUUGAUAAGAUGGGUGUGAAAUCCCCGGGCUUAACCUGGGAACUGCAUCCAUAACUGUCUGGCUAGAGUACAGUAGAGGGUGGUGGAAUUUCCUGUGUAGCGGUGAAAUGCGUAGAUAUAGGAAGGAACACCAGUGGCGAAGGCGACCACCCUGGACUGAUACUGACGCUGAGGUGCGAAAGCGUGGGGAGCAAACAGGAUUAGAUACCC
rnacentral:rRNA from 1 species